UACGAAGGUCCCAAGCGUUAUCCGGAUUUAUUGGGUUUAAAGGGUGCGUAGGCGGCCUACUAAGUCAGUGGUGAAAGCCCCAAGCUUAACUUGGGAAUUGCCAUUGAUACUGAUAGGCUUGAGUAGAUUUGAAGUGGGCGGAAUGUGUCGUGUAGCGGUGAAAUGCUUAGAUAUGACACAGAACACCAAUUGCGUAGGCAGCUCACUAAACUCUUACUGACGCUGAGGCACGAAAGCAUGGGGAUCAAACAGG
rnacentral:rRNA from 1 species